rnacentral:lncRNA from 1 species
UGUUGUUGACCACCGGUCCGAGUCUCCGACCGCCGGAGAUUUCCUCCAUCUCUCUCUCUCUCUCGGUCUCUCGUCGCCGCCAACCUCCUGCAACCAGAUGUUUUGACCGGAAAUAUGAACGGAUCUACAAAGAUCCUCAAGAAAAGAUGAAGAAGACGGUUUGUAGGUUCUUACCGGAGAGAAACCUCACACGUUGCGACUGUUGUACAUCAGAUCUGCCAUUAUCGCGCCUCAGAUCAAGAAACCGACACUAGAAAUGAGUUCAGAAGGUGUGGUUUAGGGGGGUACGCGCCGAAAAUCGGUCGUCGGAGCUCCGCCGCCGGCGGUGGCGCCGGAAAGGGUGAACGAGAGAGAGAGAUUCAGAUGUGUGUGUUUGGUCUGUUUGUGCACUUCAGAUUCUUAAAAGGAUGACCGGCAGCCGGCCGGAGGCACUGGAUGACCGGCAGCCGGCGAUGGUGGAGGGUGGAGGAGGGUGAUGGUGGGUGGAGGUUGAAGAUGAAGUGUGCUUUCUGACCCCUUCAGUGGUGCCAUUACUCACUUGUUGAUACAAAAGCUCGUCCUUUGAUUGCUGUAAACCCAUUUUUUACAACAAUUUAUAAAAUUAGGGUUUUUGUAGUGAUGAAAUUGAAAUUAGGGCUUGAUUUCUGUGGGUUUUCUAGGUGAGUUGGAUUAUACUUUUCUGCAAGAAUAUUGUAUAUGAAUUGUGUAAUUUUCGUGGCGAAUAGUCAGUCAAUCCUUCUUCCGCGUAACGUAUCUGUGUCACCGAUGAGAAUUUGGUCAAGACGGUUGGGGUUUUUCGUGUUGAUUUAUGCU